GGCCCGUUGGUCAAGUGGUUAAGACACCGCCCUUUCACGGCGGUAACACGGGUUCGAAUCCCGUACGGGUNU
rnacentral:tRNA from 1 species